GGUGGCUCAGUGGCAGAGUGCUUGCCUUGAAUGCAUGAGGCCCUAGGUUCUAUUCCUUGGUACCA
rnacentral:tRNA from 1 species